AUUGAACGCUGGCGGCAGGCUUAACACAUGCAAGUCGAGCGAGCCGCGGACGUGUGAGUAAUUUCUGGGAAACUCCCUGAUGGAGGGGGAUAACUACUGGAAACCGUAGCUAAUCCCGCAUACCAUCAGAUGUGCCCAGAGGGGAUUAGCUAGUAGGUGGGGUAAAGGCUCACCUAGGCGACGAUCCCUAGCUGGUCUGCAAGGAUGACCAGCCAACCUGGAACUGAGACACGGUCCAGCCUCCUACGGGAGGCAGCAGUGGGGAAUAUUGCACAAUGGGCGCAAGCCUGAUGCAGCCAUGCCGCUUGUAUGAAGAAGGCCUUCGGGUUGUAAAGUACUUUCAGCGGGGAGGCGGUACCCGAAGAAGAAGCACCGGCUAACUCCGUGCCAGCAGCCGCGGUAAUUC
rnacentral:rRNA from 1 species